GAACGCUGGCGGCGUGCUUAACACAUGCAAGUCGAACGGAAAGGCCUUUUCGGAGGUGCUCGAGUGGCGAACGGGUGAGUAACACGUGGGUGAUCUGCCCUGCACUCUGGGAUAAGCCUGGGAAACCGGGUCUAAUACCGGAUAGGACCGCACUUUAGUGUGUGUGGUGGAAAGUUUUUUCGGUGUAGGAUGAGCCCGCGGCCUAUCAGCUUGUUGGUGGGGUAAUGGCCUACCAAGGCGGCGACGGGUAGCCGGACUGAGAGGUUGGUCGGCCACAUUGGGACUGAGAUACGGCCCAGACUCCUACGGGAGGCAGCAGUGGGGAAUAUUGCACAAUGGGCGCAAGCCUGAUGCAGCGACGCCGCGUGGGGGAUGACGGCCUUCGGGUUGUAAACUCUUUCGCCAGGGACGAAGCGUUUUGUGACGGUACCUGGAGAAGAAGCACCGGCUAACUACGUGCCAGCAGCCGCGGUAAUACGUAGGGUGCAAGCGUUGUCCGGAAUUACUGGGCGUAAAGAGCUCGUAGGUGGUUUGUCACGUCGUCUGUGAAAUUCCACAGCUUAACUGUGGGCGUGCAGGCGAUACGGGCUGACUUGAGUACUGUAGGGGUAACUGGAAUUCCUGGUGUAGCGGUGAAAUGCGCAGAUAUCAGGAGGAACACCGAUGGCGAAGGCAGGUUACUGGGCAGUUACUGACGCUGAGGAGCGAAAGCAUGGGUAGCAAACAGGAUUAGAUACCCUGGUAGUCCAUGCCGUAAACGGUGGGCGCUAGGUGUAGGGGCCUUUUGGGGUUUCUGUGCCGUAGCUAACGCAUUAAGGCGCCCCGCCUGGGGGAGUACGGCCGCAAGGCUA
rnacentral:rRNA from 1 species